rnacentral:misc_RNA from 1 species
UGCCUGAUGGACCACCUGAAAUGCAGCCUGCUGGUGCACAUGAAGGUGCAUCAAAACAUGCAAAUUGGUCACAUCCAAUGCCUCAUAGAAGUCCCCCACCACCUUCAUCUGGGGGAGGGGGAGGUGGGGGACAACUUGGUGCUUUCUGGUCCUCUCAACAUGCAAAGGACUCAUUCUCUGUUGAAGACAAUAGCAAACCUAAAUUCGAUGAAGAACCUAGCUAUAACGCAUCAAGACAUGAUAGGAACCGAAUGGAGAAUCAUACUUUAUCCAAAAGUUCCAUCCCUGCAAAAGAUGAAAAUGCACAAACUCAUUCUACUAGGAGGAAUGUGCAUGGCAAGUCACAAAUUUCUGAGGAUGGCAAUUCCAAGGACUUUGAAAUAAAUUUCUUCCAGAAAGACUUAGACCGUGGCACGGAGAGGCCGAAAACAUCAAAAAAUGAGAGCACAUCUUUAUUUCAAGAUGAGGCUUUUAAUACUUUUGUUACUGAAUUUGAUAGCAAUAAGCUGAACUCC